AGGUCGUAAUGUGGACACUUACGCAAUAGAUCCUUGUAUCUCUCCCAUGCCUCAUAUAAUGAUUCACCCUCAAAUUGGGUGAAUGUAGUUAUAUCAUUCCUCAACUU